GUAUGAUCCUCCACCACUGAAUGGCAGACCUCUCCAGCAGUAAAGGGGUUAAUGUUAUCCUCGGUAACAUGUGGGUUAAUCCCACGUCAGAGUCUCAGGUCUUAGUGGGAAAGAUUGGGGAAUUUGGCUGGGAGUCUGGGGUUUAUUUCUUAAACGCCCAAAUCAAAUGAGAAUGCCCUCAACUAGACCAAAUCAGAAGAGAAG